AUGCUUACUUUGGCAGCACAUAUACUAAAACUGGAAUGAUACAGAGAAGAUUAGCAUGGCCCCUGUGCAAGAUAACAAGCAAAUUCAUGAAGCAUUCCAUAUUUUU
ensembl:snRNA U6 U6 spliceosomal RNA